GAUGAACGCUGGCGGCGUGCCUAAUACAUGCAAGUCGAACGCUGAAGGAGGAGCUUGCUCUUCUGGAUGAGUUGCGAACGGGUGAGUAACGCGUAGGUAACCUGCCUGGUAGUGGGGGAUAACUAUUGGAAACGAUAGCUAAUACCGCAUGACAACAGUUAUUGCAUGAUAACUGUUUAAAAGGGGCAACUGCUCCACUACCAGAUGGACCUGCGUUGUAUUAGCUAGUUGGUGAGGUAACGGCUCACCAAGGCGACGAUACAUAGCCGACCUGAGAGGGGGAUCGACCACACUGGGACUGAGACACGGCCCAGACUCCUACGGGAGGCAGCAGUAGGGAAUCUUCGGCAAUGGACGGAAGUCUGACCGAGCAACGCCGCGUGAGUGAAGAAGGUUUUCGGAUCGUAAAGCUCGGUUGUAAGAGAAGAACGAGUGUGAGAGUGGAAAGUUCACACUGUGACGGUAUCUGACCAGAAAGGGACGGCUAACUACGUG
rnacentral:rRNA from 1 species